rnacentral:rRNA from 1 species
AUUGAGUUUGAUCCUGGCUCAGGACGAACGCUGGCGGCGUGCUUAACACAUGCAAGUCGAACGAUGAAGCCAGCUUGCUGGUGGAUUAGUGGCGAACGGGUGAGUAACACGUGGGUGAUCUGCCCCAAACUUUGGGAUAAGCCUGGGAAACUGGGUCUAAUACCGAAUAUGACCGAUACUCGCAUGGGUGUUGGUGGAAAGCUCCGGCGGUUUGGGAUGGGCCCGCGGCCUAUCAGCUUGUUGGUGGGGUAAUGGCCUACCAAGGCGACGAUCCAUAGCUGGUCUGAGAGGAUGAUCAGCCACACUGGGACUGAGACACGGCCCAGACUCCUACGGGAGGCAGCAGUGGGGAAUAUUGGACAAUGGGCGAAAGCCUGAUCCAGCAAUGCCGCGUGAGUGAUGAAGGCCUUAGGGUUGUAAAGCUCUUUUACCAGGGAUGAUAAUGACAGUACCUGGAGAAUAAGCUCCGGCUAACUCCGUGCCAGCAGCCGCGGUAAAA